rfam:Campylobacter avium LMG 24591 chromosome, complete genome.
AAAGCAUAGCAGACGUUUGCUUCCUUUUGGAAGAGGAAAGUCCGAGCUGCAAAAGACAAGCAUUGCAUCUAACGGAUGCCUAGAGUAAUCUAAGGGAAAGUGCAACAGAAAGCAAACUACCGCUUAGGCGGAAAAGGUGAAACGGUGAGGUAAGAGCUUACCAGCAAAUUUGGUAACAAAUUUGGCUAUGUAAACCCAAUGUGCAGCAAGAAGGUAUGGUUUUUGUCUUUAUUUUAACCCUUCGCUUGAGCUUAUUUGUGAAAAUAAGCCUAGAUAAAUAAACGUUUAAUACAGAACUCGGCUUAUAGCUAUGCUUUUAUA